CAACCCUCAGGCCACGCCUGGCGUUGGGGUCCUGCGCGGCAGGCCCCGAAAGACAGCGGCGGGUGCGUCCCACGACCGAACGCAGUAGUUUUCUCUCGUUCCGGGCGCGGGCGCAUGCCGGCCGUAAAACACCCCCUUUCUAA
rnacentral:misc_RNA from 1 species